rnacentral:lncRNA from 1 species
CAAAUGAUUAUUUUAAUAGUUGACGAAUCACUAAUUAUUAUUUCCGAUUAGUCGACGAAUCGGGUCAUGAGCAAUAAUUUCUUGACCGUUAUUAGCUUUAAGCUAACUAAAAACUAGAUAUAUAGCAUUAGCUGUGAUAAUGCUAGUGUAAAUACUGAAGAUGCAGAAGCUGAUAGCUGAAAUUACUGAUAUUGAUAGCUGAAUACGAUGAAACUAAAAGCCAGAUAAUAUAUUAGUUAAAUGCCAAAUUAGCUUAAAACGUUUGUAGAAAAUCCCAACUUAGCCAUAAACAGCUAGCAUAAAGCUGAAAUAUUAGCUAAACUCCAAAUUAGCCUAAAAACAAAAAAAAAUCCUAAAUUAGCCAAAAUGGUUAGCAUGGAGCUGAAAUAUUAGCUGAAAACGCUGAAGCCAACAGCCAGAUAAAAUACUAGUUACAUGCCAAAUUAGUCUAAAAACUUUUUUAAAAUCUUAAAUUAGCCAAAACAGCUAGCAUGUAGCUAAAAUUUUAGCUCAAAUAUAAAUUAGCCAAAAACUGAAAAAAUCCUAAAUUUCCCAAAAUAGCUAGCAUGGAGCUGAAAUGUUAGCUAAACUCCAAAAUAGGCUAAAAAAAGUAGAUUAGUCGACUAAUCGUGGUACCUCUAGUAGAAACCGCAGGAAGCAUUGCUGUUCCAAUGCAGGUUUUUCAAAAUAAAGCGCCAAACAUCUACGUUUACGCAGUUUAAACACAAAACUGAUUGAAACACGUUUGUGGAAACUCUGAUAAAAUGAAACGUUUUGGUCUCUUUCAGUCGAGGAAGAGCGAAGGUCGCCGCAUAUGAGACCUCGACCUCAGAGGAGUGCGAGGAACAAACCAGAAGAAAACAAACGGACGAAGAAAUGCAGUUAAAUGAACUCAAUGCAGCAAAAAUGUGAAAGAAGCUGAAAGAGCAGCGGUUUCCGUCUCUCUGAGGACUGAAGCCUCCGCGCACCAUUAACCCCGCGCCAUCCAUCAUCCGUCUCUUUACUCGAUGCGCCGCAGCGCCGUUAAUGUUAGUGCCUCUAAUGGAGCUGGCGCUCUUCCUCAGGUAAUGUAAGUGAUUAGGAGUCUAACUCUUUAUUGACCCCGGGUGACCUCCCAGUCCUGCAGUCACGAGAGGAAAAAGUCCAUA